rnacentral:lncRNA from 1 species
AAUAAUCAUGUAAAUAUGGACGGUUUCUGACUGUUUAGUUUAGUACUAACAAUGUUACAUCACAUCGUACAAACAGCGACACAUGGGAAAUGUACAUAGUGUUAGAUCCUCUGGAUCGAUGUAGGCUAGUGAUUCCGGUAAACCUACCUUCUCCUGGUCCAGAUGAGGAACUUCCGGUGCCGGCCAUGGUGACGGUGGCCGGUGAUGGCAGUGAGUGGAUGGCGGCGGUAGUGGAGCUUCCCGUGAGCACCGCGCUAACCCUAGAUCGGUAGGGAACAUCGGUGGGGCUUGCGGCAGCGAUUAACCUCGUGAAACGUGCCUCAGCUCCCCACCUCUUUUUAUAUAGCACGGGUCACAGGGGCCCACCAACCAUGGUUUGGUUGGGCGCCCCCGAUCAGGGCGCGAGUCAAGGACCCGUCGAGCCAUUGGGCUCGAUCGGGAGGAGAUCAACCUAACAUUCUCCCCCUUGAUCUCAAUUUUACUUUUAACUUUAUACUUUAUAGUUUAUUUAUUUCAUCACAUAUUGGUAUAUAGAGCAUGUUUCAUCGUCACAACUUAAUUGCCGUUAGAAUUCAUACAGCUACAACAUACGUUAUGUUCAGAAGCAAAUUCUGUUCCUUUUGGGCCUAUCCAGGAAUCAUAAGGCUUUCCCUUAAACCCAUGUUGGCUAAGUGUUCCUUGAACACAUUGGGUGGUAAGCCUUUCGUUAGCGGAUCCGCAAGCAUAUCCUUUGUCCUUAUAUGCUCGAGACUUAUAGUUUGAUUCUGGAUUUUAUCUUUCACAACAUAAUACCUUAUCUCUAUUGUUUUGGCAGCAUUACUCGACUUGUUGUUGUGAGCGUAAAAUACUGCGGGUUGGUUGUCGUAGUACAUCUUUAGUGGUUUGUGUAUACAAUUUACCACUUUCAAGUCGGGUACAAAUUUCUUUAGCCAUAUCGCCUGCCCCGUGGCUUAGAAGCAUGCUAUGAAUUCUGCAUACAUCGUGGAUGAUGCAACUAUCGACUGUUUGGAGCUUUUCCACAAAAUAGCUCCGCCAGCGAGAGUGAAGACGUAUCGUGACGUGGAUUUUCUACCAUCUCUCUCCCUCGCAAAAUCUGCGUCGGAAUACCCUUUUAUCUCUAGGGAAUCACUUCUCUUGUAUAUUAGCAUGUAGUCCUUCGUGUCUUGUGCAUAACGCAAUACUUUCUUUACCAUCUUCCAGUGCUCUAUGCCUGGAUUCUCUUCAUAUCUACCGAGUACCCCGGUGAUAAAAGCUAAGUCAGGGCGAGUGCACACUUGUGCAUACUGUAAGCUGCCAACAGCCAAAGCAUAUGGUACUGCUUUCAUUUGAUCGAUCUCGUACUGAUACUUGGGACAUUGGAAUUUCCCAAAACUAUCACCCUUGACUAUAGGAGCAGGUGUGGCUCGCAUGCAUAUUAUACUUUUUAAGAACCUUUUUCAAAUUAUGCCUUGUGCGAUAGUCCUAAGACUCCAUUGUUCAUAUCUCGAUGAAUUUCUAUGCCCAAAACAUAUGAUGCUUCACCAAGAUCUGUUAUGUCAAAAUAUGAGGAUAAGAACUUCUUUGUUUCUUGUAGUAGACUAACAUCACUGCUAGCGAGCAGGAUAUCAUCCACAUACAAGAUUAGGAAAAUAUAUUUCCCAUUUUAAACUUUGCAUAAAUGCAGUUAUCCUCAAUUUUUUUCUUUAAAUCCUAAACUUUUAAUCGUUUGAUUAAACUUUAGAUACCACUGCCGAGAGGCUUGUCUUAAUCCAUAAAUGGAUUUCUUCAGACAGCAUCCCAUAUUUUCCUUGCCUUCCAUGAUAAAACCCUUGGGUUGUUUCAUGUAGAUCUUUUCUUUUAAAUCACCAUUUAGAAAAUGCCGUCUUAUCAUCCAUUUGAUGUAACUCUAGAUCAAAAUGAGCAACUAAUGCCAUUAUGAUUCUGAAGGAAUCCUUACAUGAGACUGGAGAAAAUGUCUCAUUGUAGUCUAUCCCUUCUCUUUGUGUAAAUCUUUUUGUCACGAGUCGUGCUUUAUACUUUUUUAUAUUCCCUUUAGAGUCAUACUUAAUUUUGUAGACCCAUUUACAGCCUACUGUUUUGGCUCCUUUAGGAAUUUCCUCUAAGUCCCAAACAUCUUUGGAACUCAUCGAUUUCAUCUCGUCUUUCAUUGCCUUCAUCCACUUCGAUGAAUGAGAGCUUCUCAUGGCUUCUUCAUAUGAGGUGGGAUAUUUUUCCAUAUGAACCAUUUCUGUGUUAUAAACUUUAAAGUCAGUAGAAAUAGCUGACUUUCUAGGUCUUGUAGACCUUCUAAGGGCCUCAGUUUCUGGCACAUUCUGUGCCUCAACUUCUGGCACUGCUUCUAAAAUUUGCUGUUGCACCUCCCUUUCAUGCUCAACAACGGGUUCAGUCGGCUCCUGACAGACAGGUUCUGGGUCUACCCCCAUAGUUGUCAUGGGUGGAGUUGCAACUGGUAGAGAGAAAAAUGGCUCUUGAAUCAUCGGAUUAGGUGCAUGCACCCUCUUCUCCUCAAGAUCAAUUUUUCGAGCUACCAAGCUUCCCCUCAUCAUUUCGUCCUCUAAGAAGACUGCAUGUCUCGUUUCUACAAACUUUGUAUAUCUGUCUGGGUAGUAGAAACGAAAACCCUUUGAUCUAUCUGGAUAGCCAAUGAAGUGGCAACUCACUAUUUUGGGAUCUAACUUUGCAAUGUUUGGAUUAAACAUUUUAACCUCAGCAGGGCAGCCCCACACCCUGAAGUGUUGUAGGGAGGGCACCCUUCCUGUCCAUAGCUCGUAUGGUGUUUUGGGCACCGACUUGCUUGUCACUCUAUUGAGAAUGUGAAUGGCGGUUUUAAGCCCCUCCAUCAUAAUCCCAAUGGCAAGUUGGAAUAACUCAUCAUGUUGCGCACCGUAUCCAUAAGUGUACGGUUGCGCCUUUUAGCUACUCCAUUAUUUUCUCCCAUAGUGGGAUACAUUUAAAGCACAUGAGUUAUCAUAUCUUUCUCUUGCCAGAAUUUCUCCCGCCAUACGGAAUUUUGACAUAAUAUUAUGUCAGCUUUACCUCGUUACGCAGGUAUUUUCCCAGACUUUUCCCGCCAUGCAGGUUUUAUCAUAAUCAUCUUUUUCCGCCAUGCGGGUAAGUCCCUGUAAGGGAACAUUGCCAAAAUUGGCUCUUUUGAUUGCAUAUUCAAUCAUCAAAUUUAGGAAUAAAUCUGAAUGGUCUUUGACACACAUGCUUGAUCCGACGUUGGUCAAAUUAAGCACACAUGUUGCUUGUUUCAUCUCAAAUCAUGUUGACUGAGAAAUCUUCUUCAUAGAGAGUACAUGAAGGACAUUCAUCAACCAAGACUCUCAAUGAUCUAUCUUUUUUCUUUUGAUGUCAUUCUUUAGAGAGAACAUACUUCCUCAUGUUAUGACCUUCCCUGAUCAUCUUUCGGAUCACAAGUACCCAGCCAUUCGCUUUCACGAAUGAAAGCAUGAAAAACUUUUAGUCUGAGAAAACAUAGCCAAUAAUCAACAAUAAUGAGCAUAAAAAUAACCCUACAUUGGUCUGGUUAAAAAAAUAUGCACAUUAAACUUUUGUAAAACUUUCUUUUUAUACUCUAAAUCACCGUUGUGGUAGAAUUAGAAUAAAACUCAUUCUUCAACAUUAAUUCCAUAUCACCGUUGGACGAAAAUGGAAAUAAUGCAUAUAACUCAUAAACAAUGUGAUGAUAGUAUUUCUAUUAAACAACUUUGCUAAGAAAUAAUCAUCAUCAUCAACUUUAUUGCAGCGGAAAACUAGCAAUAUACAUUUCUCAGUCUUUAUCAAAUUCUCUGAAAAAAGGUCACUUUGAUACAAAAUUUAUCAGAGAUUUGAACUUUUGAACAUAAGACUCAUAGAAUUAUAGUACUGUUAUCAUCAACAUUGGUCAGAAAAUAACAAUACCAUAUUUUAACUUUAAACAAAUAUAUUUCUUUUGUCAUAGCAGAAACUAUCUGCAUCUUAUUUCACCCGUAGGGAAAAAAUUACUAAGAACAUUUCUUCCAAUUAAAUUUUUCCGUUGGUUCCAAUUUAAUUGGAUGAUAAAACUUUUACUUUGCAACAGAAGCUUUACAAUAUUCUAUUAAAAAACAAUUCUCUACUUUUUUACUCUCUAAGAAAUUUUAACCGUUUGGUUCAAAAAUGCAUUAGAGAAGCAAUAAUUUAAUUUUUUACUUUAGUUCUAUUCACUUUUUAAAAGAGCACCUUUAAUUUCAAUAAUAAAGCAUGAUCAUGUUAUUAACAACGUUGGUCAUAAAAAUAACAUAAUCAUAUUCAUCACUUUAAUAAUCACUUUAACAUGCUCUUAAAAACUAAUACUAUAUAAACUUUUAUUUUCUUUGUAAAAGAGCACUGAUUAUUUACGUAGCGGACAAACAUGAAUAAAAAUUCAUGAACCUUUUACAUUUUAUAGAAACUUUUAUGUUACUAAAACAAAAUUCAUGAACUUUAUUAUGUCCUUUAUAAAAUUCAUGAACUUUUCUUUUUCUGGAAAUUUUACUUUUCUAUUUCCAGAUACUUUUCUACUCUUUUUUUUAUAUCUUUUCUAUUUUCUAAACACAUUUUUCGUUGGAAAAAUUGCAUAGAAAAACUAUUUAGAAUCUGCCCAUAAAACUGGACAGAAAACUAUAUAAAAAAAUUGCAGCUGGCCUGUGGCCUGCUCACGCGCACUCUGCGCGUGCGUCGCGCCUGGCAGAAAACGGCCCGGCCCAGCGCCCGCCAGCGGCUGCAGCCGGCCUUGUCCACUUUCGGCCCAUUGGCCCAGUUCGGAAUUAGGGUUUUCAUCGUGGUCGUUCAUUGAGAUCGGACGGCCAUCCAUGCUUUUCUCCCGAACAAAACGGUGAGCGAGGGAGAGCCGAGCGCAGCCUCGGUCAAUCCUUCCCUCCCCCGCGCCGCUCGCGGCUCGCGCGUCUCUGCGCCCUCCGGCCACACCGGCCGCCGGCGACGGCAUCAGGCCACCGCACCGCGCCGCGGCUACCUUUUCCCUUCCCCUCUACUUUCCUCCUUCCUGUGACAGAGAGAGCGAGAGAGAGACGCGACGAAGCCCUCUGAUCCCCUUCGCGCCCGCUCCUCUCUCGCCCGCUCGCUUGGUUCCGGCUCCGCGAGCCAGCAGCCCCUUCCCCCUCCCCACUCCGUUUCCACGAGAGAGAGGAAGACAGAGAGGCUACCCCUUUUUCUCUUCAGCGAGAGGAAGAGCGCGGCCAGAUCGCGCCGUGGCUAUCCUCCUCGUCGGUCGCGCGUCCUCCCUUGCAGUGAGCGCGCCGCCGCCGAGGGAUUUGGCCGCGGUGCUAACCCCCUUCUUCUUUUUUCUGCGUCUUUUUCCUUUCUUUUCCGCGAGCAAUUGCUAGCUCCGGUGGUUCUUCUUCCGGACGCCUCGGCUUGCCGAUGCGCGUCUGAAUCGAGAGGAACGGCGCGCCCAUAAUGGCGGCGCAACUUUUCCGGUGAGGUCCGAGGCCCUUCUCCGGUGAUUUACUUUGCCCUGUCUAGGGUUCUUGGGAGGGGGGAGCGAGGGAUCUCUUUUUUCCUCUGUAAUUCUUUGUACCGAAAAAACUUAGCCUAGCAUGGCUCUGAUACCAUUGUUAGAGAUCCUCUGGAUUGAUGUAGGCUAGUGAUUCCGGUGAAACUACCUUCUCCUGGUCCAGAUGAGGAACUCCCGGUGCCGGCCAUGGUGACGGUGGCCGGUGAUGGCAGUGAGUGGAUGGCGGCGGUAGUGGAGCUUCCCGUGAGCACCGCGCUAACCCUAGAUCUGUAGGGAACAUCGGUGGGGCUUGCGGCAGCGAUUAACUUCGUGAAAUGUGCCUCAGCUCCCCACCUCUUUUUAUAUAGCGCGGGUCACAGGGGCCCACCAACCAUGAUUUGGUUGGGCGCCCCCGAUCAGGGCGCGAGUCGGGCUCGAUCGGGAGGAGAUCAACCUAACACAUAGUUGUAAACGUAUGAAAGGAACCAUUUACAAAAUUUGUUUGUCGCCAGGGGAAAAACCCCCAGAAUAUACAACAUAUGUAUGUACCAACUUCUGUCCCUAUGGACAGUGAGCAGCGGUACAAAACUGUAUGAGCUUUACUUCCCUAUGGACAGUGAGCAGCAGUGCACUAUACGGCUACGUGCUAAACGCGUCGCUAUAUCAAGUCUACCUAUCAAUCACAUUUGCCACAUUGGUAUGCACUACUGCCUGUGACUUUCUUUUUACACGGAGCUUUGUCUUCCUGGCCUCCACUUUCACACGGUAAGAAAUUAGUGGAAAUCGGUCCUGUCUAAGUUUCGACGACGGGUCAGUCAUCGGUCGGAAACCCCUGGCUCCGGCGACCCCGCCUUCUUGUGAGCGGCAGCUGCCUUCGCCUUCUCUCUCUCGGCUUCCAUCUGGGCUUUCUUCUUCUCCGCCUCCGCCUGCCUGAGGUUCUCGGCAUGCGCCCGCUCGAAAGUUUUCACGAAGCUUAGCAGAGUGG